UCAAGGGAUGGAAGCGUUGAAACCACCUGCCUAUCUGGGCGCCAUGGUUGGUGGCGGAGCGAGUGGCGCAACCAGCCGACUUACUG
rnacentral:ncRNA from 22 species